CCUAACCCCAAUGCCCAGCCCCCUCACCCUCUGAAGAGACACUAAAGCACAUUUACUCUCUCUCUCACUCUGGCUCUCAGUGCCUAUGUCCAGACUGCUGCUUCAGACCUCACCGCCCCUUUCCAUUCAAACCAACUUUAAGCCAGACUUCUGAGUGUGUGAGCCAGCAUUUCAUCAACAGUCUGCUGUGCACUUUCAGGAGCCUCUUAAUUUGUUAAAGUUUCAGCUGGAGAAAAGUGACCAACAGUGACCAUGAUGAGGAUCAUACUACUGCUUCUGGUCACCCUGACGGGGCCUUUCUGUACCUUUACCCAAGCAAGUAAGUAAACACACAUACAGGGUGCUCUGCUUUCUUUCAAACACGCAGGGCAUUCUGUCCAUCUGUUUCUGACCAUAUCCUUCAUUCAUUCAGUUCAUUUUUGUUUGAUUACGUUCACUAAAUGAUGCUUUCUCUUCUGAGGUGUGUUUUGGCUUUAAAUUUUAGUAUGUAAAGGGAAAAGGUGUGUUAUAAUGUUUAAUUGUUUAAAUGAUUUUAUUAGAUUUUUUAUUUCUUUACUUAGAUCAUUAAUACAAUUAUUGUAGUAUUUUAGUGAUCAGCUACAAUAUAUAUACACUGUUUUCAAUGCAAGUAAAUGAACGUUAAAUUUUGAAGUAGAAAGAUUUUUUAUUUACUUUGAAAAAUUAUUUUUACAGUACAUACAUCUAUAGAUGUUUCAUUGCCUUCUGUUCAUGAUAAACAUUAUCCACACAUCUAGACAUGUGCUGAUACAGUGUUUCUCUCAUGUGGACCCAGUGCUGGGAAAAUGAUGUAAUGGUGCAAUGAGUGUAAUUCCGGUUUUGAGUAAGUCAGCACUGAUCAAUUUCUCUGUUUCUUUCACUCUGGGCAGGGUUACACAUGUAUUAAUACUAGCACCAACUCUAUAUUUAAGGGAAACAUUUGCACAUUUAGUCCACAUGGGCUGGUUACAUCUGAGGGCAGAGGUGGCCUAAGAGAGAGAAAGAGAGAAAGAGAGCUCUUUCUCUCCCUCUCCUCACCCCCCGUCGCUUGUAACCAUCUUUGGCAGGGUAUCAAGAUUUCAACCCUCUCAGAGGUGGGUUGGAGGGGCAUGUGCGUUAUUUUUAAACUGCAGUGCCUCUGACUCACUGCUCAGGGUUGGUUACAGCCCUCUAAACAUCCCAUUAAAAUGCUCAGCAAGUUUCAAACUUGGAAAACUUCACUCCCUGCAAUCAGAGGAGAGCAUCAACACACACUCUUCCUCUCCAGACUUCCUUCUGUCUGUCUUUCUCAUUCUUUCUCCUGCUGCCAUUUGUCUCCCUUUCUUCCCGUUCCCCCGGUGGUGCCACUCCCUGUUCUAAAAGCGGGCUUCAUCAGAUAGUUAAACGUUUAUACUCUGUACUCUUUUUUUUUUAGUAUGCAGCAUUGUUUAUACAAUUAUUUUGGAGACAUAGAUUAAUGUUUGUGUUUUUUUGUGAACUUUUUACCUUUUCAGAUCUCUAAGUCAGCCUGUUAUGUGUUGUGUGUGUUAUGAAUAGAGUAAUGGUAAACUGACACGUGAGAGCACAUCGAGGUAUUGGGUGUACUGACCGUUAAUUUAGCUACAUGAACCCUGAAACUCACACAGGGUCUCUGACUGCUAUACCACAAACUCAGCCCAACUUAUUUACAGAGCCCAAACAACUUCAUAUUCAACUUAAGAGUGCAAACAGAUUUUUGAUAAAUCUGAAUUUAUUUGUUCUGCUUAAUCUUUAGCUCAAAAUGAAAUGAAAUCCAGUCCUCGUUCUGAAUCAAAUCAACUCCUUAAAGUGCUGUCUGAUAGAGAUUAACCUGAACUGACUUUAUUGUGUUAUAUUUGAAUUAAUUCCAUACAACACAAUGUAAAUUAUCUUCAUAAUCUAAAUUCACUCUUUAACAAUGUUGUUAUUGAUAACUUAAAAUCAUCCUUGUUAAAGGAGCAGAUUUCUGAGAAACACUGUUUUGAUUUCUCUGCCUCCAAAUUUAUGCAACACAGACACCUCCCCCAUCACCACUGUACACGUCCCUUACUGGUGAUUGGCUACAAGUGUGUUUUGGUGCUCGGUCCAAUCCACUUUCAAUCCACUUUAUUUUUCAACAUGGAAAUAAGCCGUUCUCUGUGAAUGUGUGAGACUUCUGGUUCAUUAGCUGCUGUAGGGAAAUAACGAGAAGAAUAAAAAAGAGCAGACAAAUGGUAAAACUCUUCGCACUACAAACCAGUUUGUUCAUAAUUAAAAUAAUACAUUAAAAUAAUAUGCUAAGACACAUCAGUUUAUCAUAUCAAGCAGCAAAACUAGCUUUUUUGUACAGCUACAAAUAGCUGGAAGCGAAUGACAAUGAAAGCCAGGCGUUGAAGUACUAAAAUUACUAAAACUUAAAAAUAAAAACUAAUAAAAAUGAAAAAGCACAUAAUUAAUUUGGAGCUUUAACUAAAAUUAAAACGGAAAAUAUAAAAACAAAACUCUUUAGAAAUUUCAAUCAACAGCUUAGUGUUAAAUAUAAAUGAACUUCACAAAUGUUCUUGAGAGAUUGGUGGGGAACUGUAGAGCUCAAUUAGAUAUCUAUCCAGUUUUGUCUCCCUCAGGUCUGGACUCCUAUGUGUUGUAUUUACAUUUACAUUUAGUCAUUUAGCAUGCAGGAGCUUUUAUCCAAAGAAACUUACAAAUGAGGACAAUGGAAGCAAUCAAAAUCAACAAAAGAGCAAUGACACACAAGUGCUAUAACAAGUCUAAAUUAGCUUAAUGCAUGUAGCAAGUUUUUUUUAUUAUAUAAUAAAUGAAAAAAAAAACAGAAUACAAAAAGAUUAGAAAGGCUAGUGUUAGUUUUUUUUUUAAAGAAUAGAAUUAGAAUAGAGAGUGCUAGAGUUAGAGGGUCUAAAGUGUAAAAAUUGAUAAAUGUCACCACAUAAAGAAAAGGUUUUUAUUUUUUUAUGUUAUUUCUAAACAUUAUUAUAAUUAUUAUUGAAGUAUAAUUAUUAUUUUUAUGAUAAAUCUUCAUAUUUUUAGAUUGAAAAAAAAACAAUCUAUAUGUAUCAGUCAUUUGAAAAGUGGCAAAAAUAAAUUGAACAUAUGAUUUAAAAAAAGGUUCCAGUUUUAAUGAUCUGUUUUAAAUCUUAGUUUUAAUUUUAAUUUACUAAUUUAAACUAAACGUACUUAGAUUAGGAUGUGUGUUAGUCUGAGAUAUGUUGUUCCCUGGAGAUUGUGAGCUUGAGAGCCUAAGUAUGUGAAUGUGUGUUGUUGAUAAGAGUGAAUUUUCACUUGCUAUGUCCUCUACUGCCCUUUCAUGACAUGCCACGUGACGUGUGUGUGUGUGUGUGUGUGUGUGUGUGUGUGUGAAGGAGGGAAUUUGCCUUUGAGAUGUUCUUCACUUGUUCUUCCUGAACUAAAACAUUCCAGCAUCAUACUCCCUCAUGAGAUGCACACACACCACACACACACAUGCUGAAGCAGUAGAUUGAGAUUAAUCUGAUAGACUGAGAGUAAUUAGUUAGGGUAAAGGAAGAUCAGUCUUUCCUGUCUGUAACCCGGCAAAACAAUUCUGCCUCCCUGUUUAACAGACACCCUACACUGGCCUCUUGUGCUCUAUUUCCCUUGUUCUCUGCUCUUUCCCUCUAUAUUUAUCUCUCCUUUUCCUUGUCUUUCCCUUUUAUGGUUUCAGUUUUGUCAGGAAAAUGUUCUUGGUCAUAGAUUUGAAUUUGAUCAUCUAAUGGGUGGAUUAACUCAUUGCAAUCUGUACUAGGCCAAUGGUUUCUCAAUCAAGGCAUUUAGUGGUCUAAUAUCUAAUAUCAAUAUUUGGAGAAUGAAUGAAAUCCACCUUAUUUUUCAUUGCUGUAGUAGGGUAUUUCCUAUGAAUGUGUGGGACUUAUGAUUAUGAUUAACUGGUCACUACUGUCACGUUUCUUGUAUCACACCUUAGACUCGCUCUCACUUUCAUAUAAACACAAUUGGUGCCAUCUUAUGUAUCAGUUGUCGAAUGUCAUGAAAAUUAUCUCUACUGUAUUAAUAUUACUGUAUUAUUGAUUCAGUGUUUGUCAGUUAACAUAAUGAGUGGCCAUUACAAGCCGUUGUUCCCCAAUAAUGAGGGAAUGACUGUACAUUAUGCUGUACAUAACUUACAGUUACAAUCGCUGGCCAUGCAGCUUAACAGCUGGCUCUUUCUCCAUACUCCGCUCCUUCCAUCACAUCGUGUGUAUUUAUGUGAGUGUGUGGUAGUGGUUGGAGGGAAAGAGAGCCAUACUUAGAACUAAUUGUUGGGGUCUCAAACAUAAUGAGCUGAUUGUUAGCAGCAGUCAACAAGAACAUUAAUAUAAACACACAAACUGACACUUACACACAUACACACAGGACAUUGUGAUCUCUGACCACACCCCACACUUACAUAUGUUUCUUAACAGGACUGUUUUGUUUGAUUGUGGCACUAUGGAAAGUAACAGUGACAGAUUUUUCUGUCCGUCUUUUUUUCUUUCUUUUUUUUUUUUGAUGCCCACUUAUAAUUAAAUAAUUUUCUCCUCUCACGUAAAAGUUCUUAACUUGUUUUGAUGUUUUAUUUUGGGAGUCCAGUUAAUUAGGUUAUAUAAAUAUGGAUUUAAAAUAACAAACUGUGUGGAAACCUAUUAUUAAAGGGAUAGUUCAUCCAAAAAUGAACAUUCUGUCAUUUACUCACCUCAUGUCACUUCAAAUUUGUAUAACUCUCUGUUCUGUGGAUUACAUAAGGACAAAUUUUACUGGUUGUUCUUUCGAUGCAGUUACAAUGAAGGAGAAACUUCAAAAAGAACUCAAAAGUACCAUAAACAUAUCAUAAAAAUACAUAUACACACAAAAAAAUUGGUGUAGAAGCCAUAGUGCUGUAAUUUUCAGAAACAAUUAUAUUAAACAUAUAUAUUAAAAUGUGUCAUGUUUUUUCAUUAUAGAAAUUUCCUUUUAGGGUUCUACAGAAGAAAGACAGUCAUAUGGGAAACUGCUCGCCCUCAUGAGUACAUAAUGACACAUUUUCUUUGGGGGAAGAACUCUUUUAAUUCCAAACUGCUGAGAGUGUGUGGGUCACAUAAUCAUCAGUAAAAUACAAAAUGUGCUUCAUAAAACUAUUACUAAAGAACCGAAACAGUAAUUUGCUUUUCACCCAGAGCUGAUGUGCAAUGCAUGCUGAGUUUGAUAUUUUAAAGUGUGUAGUUCAGCAGUUGAGGUGGUGUUAUUGUAAAGGGAGUUUCCCCUCAGAUCGCCAAGAGAAAGUCUCUCAUGUGGAGUGCAUCUGGAUUAGACACAAGCACAGAUCUGAGAUCAGUUUUUGCAGUGUCUCUAAUGGUUGCUGAGGUCAUUGUGAGUGAUGCAGAAAUAUCUAAGAUCAGCCCCCGAGGAAACAUGCCAUUUUUGCCAUGUUUUUUUUUUCCUUUUUUUUUUCCUUUCAUUUUUUUUCAAUGCUUCAUCUCCUUCUGUGCAGUUAUUGCCAGCUCCACCCAGGAAGUGAGACAAUUAGUCUGGCAUUCUGGCUGAAGGUAUGAUGUAGAAAGGAAGUGAUCUCAUUAGUGUGGAGCUGAAUAGUCAGGGCAUGACUUUUCCCUAUUGGGGGAGUGGCAGAAUGUUUAUACGUUACGUAAAUGUCUAAGUGAAUGUGUACGUGUGUGUUUACUGGGCUAAUUAAGAAGGCCGGAAUGUUCUUGCUAUUAAUGGCAGGCCAUGAGAAAAUUCUAGCUUACCCCUCCAAUACAACCACAGGAGAACUAAAACAGACAGCAAACAGCGUCAGUAGGAUUUUUCCAUUUUCAUCCAACUCUAUCCUCUUAUGUUGUAAUGAACAUCUAAGGGUUUCUAUUAGAAGAUUUUUAUGAACCUUUUUGUUGUUCUUGUACUAGGUACUCUGGUGGUGCCAACAGCUAUUGGUUCAACUCCACAACCAAAUCUUGCAUCAGAUUCACCUACUUUCACAUACACAACAGAGGUAACAUCUCCUCAAGAUGCUGUUUCAACGUCAGAGCCUGCUCCUGAGGUUACAGAAGCAGCUGCCACGACAGAAGAAGUGCCAAUGGUUUCCACAACAGCACCAGUGAUACAGUCAGAAGCCCCAUUCGAAACAACAGCCCUAACAGAUACAACACAAUCAACAGAAGCUGUACCUAUAGAGACAACCAGCCCUGAAGCCACUACUGUCUUUGCAGAAGCAGAAAUGCCUGAGAAAGUUGAAGACAUAGAAUCAAAGACUGCAGAUGAAGAGGUGGAGGAUGAAGGUAUGGGCACAGGACAGUUGGUGGGGAUCGUAAUCGGUGCAUUGAUCACAGUGAUUGUUGUCAUUGCUGUAAUCAUCUUGUUGGUCAGAAGAAUGGGCCAAUACUCCCCCUGAAAAGAAAGGCACGACAGGAAGAGAAAAAGAAGAAAUCCGGGAAGUUCUGAACUAUUGUUCUGAUGUUAAAAACAAUCCAAGCAGCACUCUCACCAUCCAUCCAGGACUGUACGGGGAGCAGGAGAGUGUCCCAUCCCCUUUCCCAUUGAAAAAGAUGCCCUCCCACAAAAACACCUUCCCAGUGCCCACAAGUUAUUUUAUUUAGCCUGAAAAACCUUAUUUAUCCCAAUAGUGGGAGGCCACAGGAAGUUACAGUAUCUUUUUUUAAUGCAUAUUAAUGUAACAGGAGAUUAAUGAAUGUUCAAUUUGUAAAGGGCCUAAUAAACAAAAACAAACAAACAGCUGCCCAUGCAAGCAAAAGCUUGUAUGUUUUUAUAUCAUACAGAAAAAAAAACUAAUCCAAAAUCAUUAUUCUUUUCCCAUUCUACAGAUGUGUCCAUUUGGACUAUGACGCAUUAUGAACAGUCUUUGAACUGUCAUAAGCAGAUGCUGAGGACACAUUCUGUUCUCAAGAUGUGUAACCGGCUUUAACUAAUAAAUAUUUUUUAAAUUAUUAGUUAAGGGGAGCAGCACACAAUAAGUGCUUGAGAUUUACUCAUUUGAAAGUGCACUAGUACAGAGUGACUUGACUGUGUUGUUCUUAACUGUCACCCAUUCCAAAAGUGACAUCAUUUCCUCUGGAACGCAUCAUUUAUUGUGUGUUCCAAUCCGCUUAGCUCCAGCGCACAGCUGCUAUUGGCAUGUAUCUCUAAAAUCCUGAUGUUCCUCAGCCUGGACUACAUCAUUUUAACAGCAUACUACAGACAUUUUGCAUGGUAUAGUUGAGUUGUUUGCAUUUCUUUUUGUCAGUGUUGAGGUUUGUGUUUCUUUCUGAUGUUCGAGAGCAUUGCUAUCCUGGGCUUUGCUUUAAGAGAUCAGUAUUAGGUGCACUGAAUGAUGAAGAAUAAAUGUUUAGUAUUGACAAGACACUGCAGUUGUUUGCAACGAUAUUUUGUGUUUCUUGCUUGCCAGAUUCCUCUUUAUUUCUCGUUACUCCAUGAUCUCAUUUUGCCAUUUGAUGUCAGAAUCCAGUUAAAGCCAAGAGUUUGACUUUGUGUUUUGGGGUUUUGUUUUACUUAUUGUUCAAUCAAUUUCAAUAAAAAAGUUCCAAAGUAUGUUACGCUGCCAUAUUGUGUUGUUGUGGAUCCCAGAUAACAUUGUCUGUUUAUCUGUGUUUACUUUUCAGCCCCUUUUACUCAGCAUUCCAGCUUUACACACACAUUUACGCCCAUGCACUGUCUCUUUCUCACACAAACACACACCCACACAUUCCCUUUCUCUGUCUCUCUAAUCCAAUAGGUUAUAAAGACUGUAAAAGACAAGGGAGAUAGAGGAAGAGAUAUGCAGAGUCAAUGAAUAAAGGCAUCUUUGUAAAUAUGACUAUGCACUUAAGUGCCCUCUCUGGUUAAGUAACGUAAAUAGCAUGAGAGUCCCAAACAGCUGGCCCCAAAACGUAUUUGGACAUUGACUUUCAUUUGGAAAUGGACCAUAACAGUUUCUUUUUUCCAUUCAUUUUUCAAGUAUCUGUACUUUAUCAGAUUCUUUUUUUAUUUUAUUUUUGGCCUUCUCAUUACUUUUCCAUUUUAGAUUCCAAAGAUGUCUAACGUUUUACUUCACUAAUAAUGCACACGUUUUAUUAAAGUCAGCAUGAAAAUGAAAAUUCACCAAAUCUAAUUUGUAAACGGACUUUGUUAUUGAUCUUUUCCAUAUUGAUCUAUUUAAUUGUGUUUUUGACCUUGUAAUGUUUAAUUAAAAUGGCAUAUCUCAAUCUUCCUGUGAAAAUGGCCAAUUGGAACAUGUUGAUAUUUAAUAUGUUGUAGUAAAUUGUAGUUUGCUUAUUUUGGUCUUGAGAUAGUCCUUCAUUACUGAUCAUUUAUAAAUCUAAAUUAUAUAAUUUUUAACAAAUAUCUCAUUCUCUCCUUAUUAAUCAGAAAGCCCUCUAACCAAAUUAUGACAGUAACUUCUGCGUGUGUGUUUAAGUGGGUGAGCAUAAAUGUAUGAGGCUGAAUGUGGUUUUAGGCAGUAGCCCAGCUACUCUCUCUCUUUAGCUAUGAACAAUGGACUCUUUUAGUGGGAGACUCACUCUGACGUCCUGCUCACAGUCUGAUCUCUAUAACCGUUUGUUUGUGAUCCAAUGAUUUCUACAUUCCUAAUGAGAAGGGCACUUCCUGACAAGUAAAAGCCUUCAUGUACACUAACAUGAACAUUAGGAAAGACCUAGAAGCGCCAAAACACACAAAACAAUGUUUGCAUAUACACACACACACAAUGAAAUUCAAAUAUACACACAAUUUUGCAAAAUGUAAAAAUAAAAUCUCAAUGACAUAACAGGACUGUAAGCAGCUUAGGUAAAAUAAAUGCCUGCAGAAAAUAAUGAAAACAGACCGUCUGGAAAUCCUAGUCUUGCUAACACAAACACACACAUAAACAUGUAUGCUAAACUUAAAAAUGACCUAAAGUGAACCAUAUCAUAUGUGUAUCAGAGAAGAAUGUGAGUGUUUAAGGGAGGACAGCUAAUACAGCAACCUCAUGUUUACUUCAGAGCCUGGAUACACACGUAUAUGCAGCUUCAGGUCACUCCCCAGGUCUUGAGAAACACUCACUCUCAGUGCCAUCCACUCACUUUGGUUUAUUUGUAGGGAGUACAGUACCAGUGAGAAACUCGACUCAUCUCUAUAGCUUCACAAAUUCACAUUCUGCUGUAAAGCAGCUCUAACAAGUCAAUAGUGUCAUUCUACAGUUCAAGUCGGUUAAGUAUUUUAACUGUAAAAGUCAUCAGUUACUGUAUAUACAGUGUAAAUGUGCAUAUGCAUGUACAGUAUGUGCAAGAGCCACUGCACUCUGAACAAGCAAAAGACAC
ensembl:lncRNA